GACGAACGCUGGCGGCGGGCUUAACACAUGCAAGUCGGACGGAAAGGCCCUGCUUUUGUGGGGUGCUCGAGUGGCGAACGGGUGAGUAACACGUGAGUAACCUGCCCUUGACUUUGGGAUAACUUCAGGAAACUGGGGCUAAUACCGGAUAGGAGCUCCUGCUGCAUGGUGGGGGUUGGAAAGUUUCGGCGGAUGGGGCUGGACUCGGGGCUUAUCAGCUUGUGGGGGGGGUAGUGGCUUACCAAGGCUUUGACGGGUAGCCGGCCUGAGAGGGUGACCGGCCACAUUGGGCCUGCGAGACGGCCCAGACUCGUACGGUAGGCAGUGGUGGGGAAUAUUGCACAACGGUCCGGAGUGUGAUGCAGCAACGUCGCGUGCGGGAUGCCGGCCUUCGGGUUGUAAACCGCUUUAGCCUGUGACGAAGCGUGAGUGACGGUAAUGGGUAAAGAAGCACCGGCUAACUACGUG
rnacentral:rRNA from 1 species